UGGCUCAGCUUUAACGCUGGCGGCAGGCCUAACACAUGCAAGUCGAACGGUAACAGGAAGCAGCUUGCUGCUUUGCUGACGAGUGGCGGACGGGUGAGUAAUGUCUGGGAAACUGCCUGAUGGAGGGGGAUAACUACUGGAAACGGUGGCUAAUACCGCAUAACGUCGCAAGACCAAAGAGGGGGACCUUCGGGCCUCUUGCCAUCAGAUGUGCCCAGAUGGGAUUAGCUUGUUGGUGAGGUAACGGCUCACCAAGGCGACGAUCCCUAGCUGGUCUGAGAGGAUGACCAGCCACACUGGAACUGAGACACGGUCCAGACUCCUACGGGAGGCAGCAGUGGGGAAUAUUGCACAAUGGGCGCAAGCCUGAUGCAGCCAUGCCGCGUGUAUGAAGAAGGCCUUCGGGUUGUAAAGUACUUUCAGCGGGGAGGAAGGUGUUGCGGUUAAUAACCGCAGCAAUUGACGUUACCCGCAGAAGAAGCACCGGCUAACUCCGUGCCAGCAGCCGCGGUAAUACGGAGGGUGCAAGCGUUAAUCGGAAUUACUGGGCGUAAAGCGCACGCAGGCGGUCUGUCAAGUCGGAUGUGAAAUCCCCGGGCUCAACCUGGGAACUGCAUUCGAAACUGGCAGGCUUGAGUCUUGUAGAGGGGGGUAGAAUUCCAGGCGUAGCGGUGAAAUGCGUAGAGAUCUGGAGGAAUACCGGUGGCGAAGGCGGCCCCCUGGACAAAGACUGACGCUCAGGUGCGAAAGCGUGGGGAGCAAACAGGAUUAGAUACCCUGGUAGUCCACGCCGUAAACGAUGUCUACUUGGAGGUUGUGCCCUUGAGGCGUGGCUUCCGGAGCUAACGCGUUAAGUAGACCGCCUGGGGAGUACGGCCGCAAGGUUAAAACUCAAAUGAAUUGACGGGGGCCCGCACAAGCGGUGGAGCAUGUGGUUUAAUUCGAUGCAACGCGAAGAACCUUACCUGGUCUUGACAUCCACAGAAGAAUCCAGAGAUGGAUUUGUGCCUUCGGGAACUGUGAGACAGGUGCUGCAUGGCUGUCGUCAGCUCGUGUUGUGAAAUGUUGGGUUAAGUCCCGCAACGAGCGCAACCCUUAUCCUUUGUUGCCAGCGAUUAGGUCGGGAACUCAAAGGAGACUGCCAGUGAUAAACUGGAGGAAGGUGGGGAUGACGUCAAGUCAUCAUGGCCCUUACGACCAGGGCUACACACGUGCUACAAUGGCGCAUACAAAGAGAAGCGACCUCGCGAGAGCAAGCGGACCUCAUAAAGUGCGUCGUAGUCCGGAUUGGAGUCUGCAACUCGACUCCAUGAAGUCGGAAUCGCUAGUAAUCGUGGAUCAGAAUGCCACGGUGAAUACGUUCCCGGGCCUUGUACACACCGCCCGUCACACCAUGGGAGUGGGUUGCAAAAGAAGUAGGUAGCUUAACCUUCGGGAGGGCGCUUACCACUUUGUGAUUCAUGACUGGGGUGAAGUCGUAACAAGGUA
rnacentral:rRNA from 1 species